rnacentral:lncRNA from 1 species
UAUAGUAAUUGGGCUUAGAGCUAAUAACCUUGACCACAAAGUUGCAUCUAGCAUUUGGAGUCCUUGAAACAAACCUCUCUGUAUAAUAUCAGCUCUGAGUUUUAUUCUCUAAAGAGGCAGUGUUAUAAAUGGAGAAAAAAACUUGAGUAUGGAACAAUAUUUGGAAUAAGAUGAUCAAAUUCUGGGGAUCAGCACCUUACCUUAGCCAUCCUGCUCAUUUUCUGGCUAAACAAAAGUUUGAAGCCUAAUUCAGCCUUAGAUCCUUACAAUGACCCA